rnacentral:rRNA from 1 species
AGUGAACGCUGGCGGUAGGCCUAACACAUGCAAGUCGAACGGCAGCACAGUAAGAGUUUGCUCUUACGGGUGGCGAGUGGCGGACGGGUGAGGAAUACAUCUGAAUCUACUUUUUCGUGGGGGAUAACGUAGGGAAACUUACGCUAAUACCGCAUACGACCUACGGGUGAAAGCAGGGGAUCUUCGGACCUUGCGCGAUUGAAUGAGGCGAUGUCGGAUUAGCUAGUUGGCGGGGUAAAGGCCCACCAAGGCGACGAUCCGUAGCUGGUCUGAGAGGAUGAUCAGCCACACUGGAACUGAGACACGGUCCAGACUCCUACGGGAGGCAGCAGUGGGGAAUAUUGGACAAUGGGCGCAAGCCUGAUCCAGCCAUACCGCGUGGGUGAAGAAGGCCUUCGGGUUGUAAAGCCCUUUUGUUGGGAAAGAAAAGCAGCAGGUUAAUACCCCGCUGUUCUGACGGUACCCAAAGAAUAAGCACCGGCUAACUUCGUG